UCGCGGUUUCGACAUGGGGAAGAUGGCGGCUGCCGUCGGGUCCGUGGCCAUGCUGGCGACCGAACCCGGGGAAGACGCCUUCCGGAAACUCUUCCGCUUCUACCGGCAGAGCCUGCCCGGGAGCGCAGACCUGGGAGCGGUCAUCGACUUCUCGGCGGCGCACGCGGCCCGAGGCCCGGAGUCCCCAAGGGUUUAUUUUUAUCCCAGACCCAUUCCUCCCAGGAUACCAGUGGCACUGGGUAAAACAGUGCCUUAAGCUCUAUUCCCGGAAACCCAGUGUAUGUAACCUGGACAAGCACAUGACUAAAGAAGAGACCCAAUGCAGGCGUGGUAGCACACACCUUUAAUCCCAGCACUCGGGAGGCAGAGGCAGAUGGAUCUCUCUGAGUUCAAGGCCAGCCUGGUCUACAUAGUUCCAGGUCAGCUGGGGCUACAGGGACACCCUGUCUCAAAAAGACCAGAAAAAAAAAAGAGACCCAAGAUCUGUGGAAACAGAGCAAAGAGUUCUUGAGGUAUAAAGAAGUGAAUAAAUAGGGAUCACGAAGUCUACUAGAGAAACUUCUAGGUGACCCUGGGCUACCAUUAUACCUCAGAUAAUAAGAGCAAGUGGCCUCUGCCUGUCGAUUUCAGGGUUUACAAGCAGAAGCAGAUAUCGUGAAUUACUACUGCCUAGACUCCACUCUGGGGAUCCAUGUGGACAGAUCAGAACUAGAUCACUCCAAACCCUUGCUGUCAUUCAGCUUUGGACAGUGCCGUCUUUCUCCUGGGUAGCCUCAAAAGAGAUGAGGCCCCCACAGCCAUGUUUAUGCACAGUGGUGACAUCAUGGUAAUGUCGGGUUUCAGCCGCCUGUUGAACCAUGCCAUUCCUUCCUUGUGUCUUAACACAUCCUGAUGGCAAAGGCCUACCUCCCUGCCUAGAGACCACUCUCCCUGCUGACCUCCCCAGAGAUUCACUGAUUGAGCCCUGUUCGACAGAGGACUGGCAGGUGUGUGCCACCUACUUGAAAACUGCUCGUGUUAACAUGACUGUCCAACAGGUACUGGCCACAGACCAGGACUUUCCUUUAGAGCCCAUGGAGGAGACAAAGAGAGACAUCACCACUGAUGGUUCAUGCCAUCGGGAUGACCAGAGUGGUCCAUUAAAACGGGCGAGGCUAAAUCCUGACAGCUGAGACUUGGAGGUUCCAUUCUUUCACUCAGGCAGAACUCAUUGUUGAUCUCACUGCUGCCUUGGACUGCUUACAGUUUGCUCAGAGAAGUGUUUGACUAGGCCCAUUUCUGGUUAGAUAGAGGUAGGUAUGUGUGUUGGUCGUACCAAGGCCUUAUGUUAAUCCACAGAUUUCUCAGUCUCUGCCGUUACCUCUGAGGGAGGUAGAAGAGAGUGUACAUGUCUGUGCAGUGUGAAUACCUCCAAUUUUAUUAAUAGGAAAUCCAGUAAUCCUGUGGCCUCGACAGUUUGUGGUUCUGUAAACCAGCCAUUAGAAACUUCCUACCCUCUAGUCAUCAUCAAAUUCUUUGAGCUUUUCAUUCUUCUCUCUCACAGAGGAAUCUUCAAAUGUGGGUAGAAUGCUUGCCUAGCGUGCACAAAGCCCUGGGUUCGAUACCCAGCGCCACAUGAACCCAGUGUGGUGGUGCUUGCCUGUUAUCCCAGCACUCCGGAGUAGAGGAUCAGAAGUUCAAGGUCAUCUUCAGCUACAUAAUAAGAGGCAACGUGACCUACAUGAGAUCA